rnacentral:lncRNA from 1 species
GACGCGGCGGCCAAGGCGUCCAAGAAGAACCUCGACAUCGUCGCCGUCCUGGAAGCGCAGUCGGGGCAAAUAAUCGACGCCGUCAACCUCGCGCGCGCGAGCAACGCGGCGGCGAGCAACCUUAUCCUGGCCAACGUCAUGGAAGUCGCCAAGGCCACGCAGCAGACGAUCGCGAACGUGCAGCAACGCCCGGGCUCGCACCCGUCGCAGCAGCUCCCGCACACGACCAAACCGGCCGCCGCCGCGACUGCUUUCGCGCCAGCUGUGUC